GAUGAACGCUGGCGGCGUGCCUAAUACAUGCAAGUCGAGCGAACAGACGAGUAGCUUGCUCCUUUGACGUUAGCGGCGGACGGGUGAGUAACACGUUGAUAACCUACCUAUAAGACUGGGCUAACUUCGUGAAACCGGAGCUAAUACCGGAUAACAUUUUGAACCGCAUGGUUCAACAGUUUAAGACGUUCUUUCUGUCACUUAUAGAUGGAUCCGCGCCGCAUUAGCUAGUUGGUAAGGUAACGGCUUACCAAGGCAACGAUGCGUAGCCGACCUGAGAGGGGGAACGGCCACACUGGAACUGAGACACGGUACAGACUCCUACGGGAGGCAGAAGUAGGGAAGCUUCGGAAAAGGGCGAAAGACUGAAGGAGCAACGCAGCGUGAGUGAAGAAGGGCUGCGGAUCGUAAAACUCUGUUAUUAGGGAAGAACAAAUGUGUAAGUAACGAUGCACGUCUUGACGGUACCUAAACAGAAAGCCACGGCUAACUACGUG
rnacentral:rRNA from 1 species